rfam:Trichosporon asahii var. asahii CBS 8904 unplaced genomic scaffold scaffold00035, whole genome shotgun sequence.
AUCCUCUCUGGCCUCUUUUGGCUAAGAUCAUGUGUAGUAUCUGUUCUUAACAUAGUGAGAUAUGUUAUAGCCCCACGGGGCUUCAAUCUCCCUUUAUCUUUCCUCGCCCGAGGUGCCUCUGCGGCUUGCUGCACGCAUCCUCACGAUGUCGCUGGCCUUGCACUGCCGCCUUCUGAUGUCAGGGUAC